AUCAGAACUGACGAGACAGGGAAAAUGUAAACUGAACACACUAAGAUGACACAGACUUUCAAAGUAAAGUAGGAAACACAUAACAGUCACGCAAAAACAACACAUUACCAACGCCAAAUCGUCAAUCCCGGAGGAGCACCUAGACACUCAAAUCCACACACAAUUACGGUCACAGCCGUAACACCCCCUUACCCAAGAAUUAACAUUAACCCCAAAAUGUUUAAUUCAAGGAAACACCCAAAAAAAACAAACAUUUAAAACAUACAACCCCAACGAAAAAUGUUUGUUCCAUGUCCAGCCCAUACGGCACCGGCCACCGUCCCGCAGGCGACGCUGAUGACUGGACGGGUCCUCCAGUGGAAACGGAAAACCGGAGCGGGCCCUCGGAUCCUCCAGCGAAGACAAACGAAGCCGAUGAAGGCUGGAGCGGUCCCUCGGACACUCCAGCGAAGGCGGAUGAAGGCUGGAGCGGUCCCUCGGACCCCCCAGCGAAGGCAAAUGAAGACUGAAGCGGUCCCACGGACCCUCCAGCGGAGGCAGAUGAAACCGAUGGAGGCUGGAGCGGUCCCCCUGACCCUCCAGCAGACGACGAAGGCUGAGGCGGUCCCUCGGACCCCCCAGCGAAGGCAAAUGAAGACUGAAGCGGUCCCACGGACCCUCCAGCGGAGGCAGAUGAAACCGAUGGAGGCUGGAGCGGUCCCCUGACCCUCCAGCAGACGACGAAG
ensembl:lncRNA